rnacentral:rRNA from 1 species
GCUUACGGCCAUACCACCUGAACACGCCCGAUCUCGUCCGAUCUCGGAAGCUAAGCAGGUCGGGCCUGGUUAGUACUUGGAUGGGAGACCGCCUGGGAAUACCAGGUGCUGUAAGUU